rnacentral:rRNA from 1 species
ACCCGCUGAACUUAAGCAUAUCAAUAAGCGGAGGAAAAGAAACCAACAGGGAUUGCCCUAGUAACGGCGAGUGAAGCGGCAACAGCUCAAAUUUGAAAUCUGGCUCUUUCAGAGUCCGAGUUGUAAUUUGCAGAGGGCGCUUUGGCGUUGGCAGCGGUCCAAGUUCUUUGGAACAGGACGUCACAGAGGGUGAGAAUCCCGUACGUGGUCGCUAGCCUUCGCCGUGUAAAGCCCCUUCGACGAGUCGAGUUGUUUGGGAAUGCAGCUCUAAAUGGGAGGUAAAUUUCUUCUAAAGCUAAAUACUGGCCAGAGACCGAUAGCGCACAAGUAGAGUGAUCGAAAGAUGAAAAGCACUUUGGAAAGAGAGUCAAAUAGCACGUGAAAUUGUUGAAAGGGAAGCGCUUGCAGCCAGACUUGCUUGUAGUUGCUUACCUAGACUUUUGUCUGGGGCACUCUUCUGCAAGCAGGCCAGCAUCAGUUUGGGCGGUUGGAUAAAGGUCUCUGUCAUGUACCUCUCNUNGGGGAGNCCUUAUAGGGGAGANGNCAUACAACCAGCCUGGNCUGAGGUCCGNGCAUCUGNUAGGAUGCUGGNGUAAUGGNNGUAAGCGGCCCGUCUUGAAACACGGACCAAGGAGUCUANCAUCUAUGCGAGUGUNUGGGUGUCAAGCCCAGACGCGUAANGAAANNGAACGGAGGNGGGAACCCUUUGGGUGCACCAUCGACCGAUCNUGANGUCUUCGGAUGGAUNNGAGUAAGAGCAUGGCUGUUGGGACCCGAAAGAUGGUGAACUAUGCUUGAAUAGGGNGAAGCCAGAGGAAACUNUGNNGNNNGCUNNCCNNGGNUNUGACNNNCNAANCGNUCGUCAAA